UGGGGAAUAUUGCACAAUGGGCGCAAGCCUGAUGCAGCCAUGCCGCGUGUGUGAAGAAGGCCUUCGGGUUGUAAAGCACUUUCAGCGGGGAGGAAGGGAGUAAAGUUAAUACCUUUGCUCAUUGACGUUACCCGCAGAAGAAGCACCGGCUAACUCCGUGCCAGCAGCCGCGGUAAUACGGAGGGUGCAAGCGUUAAUCGGAAUUACUGGGCGUAAAGCGCACGCAGGCGGUUUGUUAAGUCAGAUGUGAAAUCCCCGGGCUCAACCUGGGAACUGCAUCUGAUACUGGCAAGCUUGAGUCUCGUAGAGGGGGGUAGAAUUCCAGGUGUAGCGGUGAAAUGCGUAGAGAUCUGGAGGAAUACCGGUGGCGAAGGCGGCCCCCUGGACAAAGACUGACGCUCAGGUGCGAAAGCGUGGGGAGCAAACAGG
rnacentral:rRNA from 1 species